UACAGAGGUCUCAAGCGUUGUUCGGAUUCAUUGGGCGUAAAGGGUGCGUAGGCGGCGCGUUAAGUCGGGUGUGAAAUCUCGGAGCUUAACUCCGAAACUGCAUUCGAUACUGCCGUGCUUGAGGACUGGAGAGGAGACUGGAAUUUACGGUGUAGCGGUGAAAUGCGUGGAUAUCGUAAGGAAGACCAGUGGCGAAGGCGGGUCUCUGGACAGUUCCUGACGCUGAGGCACGAAGGUCAGGGGAGCAAACGGG
rnacentral:rRNA from 1 species